AACGAACGCUGGCGGCAGGCUUAACACAUGCAAGUCGAACGGUUGUAGCAAUACAGCAGUGGCAGACGGGUGAGUAACAUGUGGGAACCUUCCUAGGGGUACGGAACAACUCAGGGAAACUUGAGCUAAUACCGUAUACGUCCGUGAGGAGAAAGAUUUAUCGCCCUUAGACGGGCCCGCGUCGGAUUAGCUAGUUGGUGGGGUAACGGCCUACCAAGGCGACGAUCCGUAGCUGAUCUUAGAGGAUGAUCAGCCACACUGGGACUGAGACACGGCCCAGACUCCUACGGGAGGCAGCAGUGGGGAAUCUUGGACAAUGGGCGCAAGCCUGAUCCAGCCAUGCCGCGUGAGUGAAGAAGGUCUUCGGAUUGUAAAGCUCUUUUGCCAGGGACGAUAAUGACGGUACCUGGAGAAUAAGCCCGGCAAACUUCGUGCCAGCAGCCGCGGUAAU
rnacentral:rRNA from 1 species